AAUGGGCAAGCCGAAAACCAGAAAGAGUAGGCA
rfam:Flavobacterium sp. ov086 genome assembly, contig: Ga0070134_103